UUGGAGGGCAAGUCUGGUGCCAGCAGCCGCGGUAAUUCCAGCUCCAAUAGCGUAUAUUAAAGUUGUUGCAGUUAAAAAGCUCGUAGUUGAACUUCGGGGUUUACUCAUUGGUCAGGCUUAGGUGUCCGCACUGGUGAGAUGGAUCUCUACCUUCUGAGGAACUUUCAUGCCAUUUAUUUGGUGUGAUUGGAAAUCAGGACUGUUACUUUGAAAAAAUUAGAGUGUUUAAAGCAGACUAUCGUCUGAAUACAUUAGCAUGGAAUAAUGAAAUAGGACGGACUGAUUCUAUUUCGUUGGUUUCUAGGAUCACCGUAAUGAUUAAUAGGGAUAGUUGGGGGCAUUAGUAUUCAAUUGUCAGAGGUGAAAUUCUUGGAUUUAUUGAAGACUAACUACUGCGAAAGCAUUUGCCAAGGAUGUUUUCAUUAAUCAAGAACGAAAGUUAGGGGAUCGAAGACGAUCAGAUACCGUCGUAGUCUUAACCAUAAACUAUGCCGACUAGGGAUCGGACGAAGUUAAUUUUAUAAUGACGCGUUCGGCGCCUUACGGGAAAC
rnacentral:rRNA from 1 species